UGCAAUACUGGCCUGAGUAGAGUGGAC
rnacentral:piRNA from 1 species